CCUGUCCCUAGAGGUGUUUCAGGUGUAGCUACUAUGACACAUGUGCAUCAGUAGGUGGUAGGGAGGAGAAAUGAUGUCUAUGCUCAGUAUUAUGAACUGUAAACAUCUGAACAAUUAGUAUCCUAAUAUG